rnacentral:rRNA from 1 species
GAUGAACGCUAGCGGGAGGCCUAACACAUGCAAGCCGAGCGGUAUUUGUUCUUCGGAACAGAGAGAGCGGCGUACGGGUGCGGAACACGUGUGCAACCUACCUUUAUCAGGGGGAUAGCCUUUCGAAAGGAAGAUUAAUACCCCAUAAUAUAUUGACUGGCAUCAGUUAGUAUUGAAAACUCCGGUGGAUAGAGAUGGGCACGCGCAAGAUUAGAUAGUUGGUAGGGUAACGGCCUACCAAGUCAGUGAUCUUUAGGGGGCCUGAGAGGGUGAUCCCCCACACUGGUACUGAGACACGGACCAGACUCCUACGGGAGGCAGCAGUGAGGAAUAUUGGACAAUGGGUGAAAGCCUGAUCCAGCCAUCCCGCGUGAAGGACGACGGUUCUAUGGAUUGUAAACUUCUUUUAUAUAGGGAUAAACCUCUUUACGUGUAAAGAGCUGAAGGUACUAUAUGAAUAAGCACCGGCUAACUCCGUGCCAGCAGCCGCGGUAAUACGGAGGGUGCAAGCGUUGUCCGGAUUUAUUGGGUUUAAAGGGUCCGUAGGCGGAUCUGUAAGUCAGUGGUGAAAUCUCAUAGCUUAACUAUGAAACUGCCAUUGAUACUGCAGGUCUUGAGUAAAGUAGAAGUGGCUGGAAUAAGUAGUGUAGCGGUGAAAUGCAUAGAUAUUACUUAGAACACCAAUUGCGAAGGCAGGUCACUAUGUUUUAACUGACGCUGAUGGACGAAAGCGUGGGGAGCGAACAGGAUUAGAUACCCUGGUAGUCCACGCCGUAAACGAUGCUAACUCGUUUUUGGGACUUCGGUUUCAGAGACUAAGCGAAAGUGAUAAGUUAGCCACCUGGGGAGUACGUUCGCAAGAAUGAAACUCAAAGGAAUUGACGGGGGCCCGCACAAGCGGUGGAUUAUGUGGUUUAAUUCGAUGAUACGCGAGGAACCUUACCAAGGCUUAAAUGGGAAUUGACAGGUUUAGAAAUAGACUUUUCUUCGGACAAUUUUCAAGGUGCUGCAUGGUUGUCGUCAGCUCGUGCCGUGAGGUGUUAGGUUAAGUCCUGCAACGAGCGCAACCCCUGUCACUAGUUGCCAUCAUUCAGUUGGGGACUCUAGUGAGACUGCCUACGCAAGUAGAGAGGAAGGUGGGGAUGACGUCAAAUCAUCACGGCCCUUACGCCUUGGGCCACACACGUAAUACAAUGGCCAGUACAGAGGGCAGCUACCUAGCGAUAGGAUGCGAAUCUCGAAAGCUGAUCUCAGUUCGGAUUGGAGUCUGCAACUCGACUCUAUGAAGCUGGAAUCGCUAGUAAUCGCGCAUCAGCCAUGGCGCGGUGAAUACGUUCCCGGGCCU